AGGAUAAUAGUUAAUUAUAACAUUUGAAUUGCAAUCAAAAAGUAUUGAAUAUAAAUCAAUUUAUCUUA
rnacentral:tRNA from 1 species